rnacentral:rRNA from 1 species
AUUGAACGCUGGCGGAAUGCUUUACACAUGCAAGUCGAACGGCAGCACGGACUUCGGUCUGGUGGCGAGUGGCGAACGGGUGAGUAAUACAUCGGAACGUGCCCAGUCGUGGGGGAUAACGUAGCGAAAGCUACGCUAAUACCGCAUACGAUCUAAGGAGGAAAGCGGGGGAUCGCAAGACCCCGCGCGAUUGGAGCGGCCGAGGGCAGAUUAGGUAGUGGGUGGGGUAAAGGCUCACCAAGCCGACGAUCUGUAGCUGGUCUGAGAGGACGACCAGACACACUGGGACUGAGACACGGCCCAGACUCCUACGGGAGGCAGCAGUGGGGAAUUUUGGACAAUGGCGCAAGCCUGAUCCAGCCAUUCCGCGUGCAGGAUGAAGGCCCUCGGGUUGUAAACUGCUUUUGUACGGAACGAAAAGGCUCUGGUUAAUACCUGGGGCUCAUGACGGUACCGUAAGAAUAAGCACCGGCUAACUACGUGCCAGCAGCCGCAGUAA